rnacentral:misc_RNA from 1 species
GAUGAAGAACGUAGCGAAAUGCGAUAAGUAAUGUGAAUUGCAGAAUUCAGUGAAUCAUCGAAUCUUUGAACGCACAUUGCGCCCUCUGGUAUUCCGGGGGGCAUGCCUGUUCGAGCGUCAUUAUAACCACUCAAGCUCUCGCUUGGUAUUGGGGUUCGCGGUUCCGCGGCCCCUAAAAUCAGUGGCGGUGCCUGUCGGCUCUACGCGUAGUAAUACUCCUCGCGAUUGAGUCCGGUAGGUCUACUUGCCAGCAACCCCCAAUUUUUACAGGUUGACCUCGUAUCAGGUAGGGAUACCCGCUGAACUUAAGCAUAUCAAUAAGCGGAGGA